rnacentral:rRNA from 1 species
CAGCAGCCACGGGAAAACGGAGGGUGCAAGCGUUAAUCGGAAUUACUGGGCGUAAAGCGUGCGUAGGCGGUUCGUUAAGUCUGUUGUGAAAGCCCCGGGCUCAACCUGGGAAUGGCAAUGGAUACUGGCGAGCUAGAGUGUGUCAGAGGAUGGUGGGAUUCCCGGUGUAGCGGUGAAAUGCGUAGAGAUCGGGAGGAACAUCAGUGGCGAAGGCGGCCAUCUGGGACAACACUGACGCUGAGGCACGAAAGCGUGGGGAGCAAACAGGAUUAGAGACCCCGGUAGUCCCUGUCUCUUAUAC